rnacentral:rRNA from 1 species
ACCAGCCUACGGGGGGCAGCAGUGGGGAAUUUUGGACAAUGGGCGCAAGCCUGAUCCAGCUAUUCCGCGUGUGGGAUGAAGGCCCUCGGGUUGUAAACCACUUUUGUAGAGAACGAAAAGACACCUUCGAAUAAAGGGUGUUGCUGACGGUACUCUAAGAAUAAGCACCGGCUAACUACGUGCCAGCAGCCGCGGUAAUACGUAGGGUGCGAGCGUUAAUCGGAAUUACUGGGCGUAAAGGGUGCGCAGUCGGUUGAGUAAGACAGAGUUGAAAUCCCC